UACGAAGGGGGCUAGCGUUGCUCGGAAUCACGUGGGCGUAAAGCGCACGUAGGCGGAUUGUUAAGUCAGGGGUGAAAUCCUGGAGCUCAACUCCAGAACUGCCUUUGAAUACUGGCGAUCUUGAGUCCGGGAGAGGUGAGUGGAACUCCGAGUGUAGAGGUGAAAUUCGUAGAUAUUCGGAAGAACACCAGUGGCGAAGGCGGCUCACUGGCCCGGUACUGACGCUGAUGUGGCGAAAGCGU
rnacentral:rRNA from 1 species